UCUGUAUCUGUAUUUGUAUUUAACAAUAAAAAUGUGUUCUAAUUUCAAUAAAAUGUCAUUAAUUCGUUAGAACAGUGUUAUCAGAAAUGGGUUGUUGCAACAUCACAAACACAAAAAGAACUACGUAGACUGCGUGCCGUUUCGCGCAUGAUGCGCGUAAUGCAUUGUUCAUCUUUGUUUAACGUCCGACAAACAACAAAGAUAAACGAUGCAUUAUACGCAUUAUGCGUGAAACGGAACGCAGCUGUAGAAGUCACAUCCACGUGCUAAUUAGUCAAAAUUGAGAAAGUUACUUUUUAAAAGUAACUCGUUAUCGUUACUGUUCUUUUUCUAAAAAUUAACGUGUUAUCAUUACUCGUUACCAAUUUUCAAAAGUAACUCGUUACUGUUACCGUUACUCAAAAAUAACGCUUGUCAUUAUAAUUUCCGUUAGUUUUUAAUUUUAAAUAUAUUUAUUAAAUAUUACAGGAUUUAUUUUAAAAUAAAUAAAAACAUUGUUAAAGGACGAAGGCCUAUAAGGCUAAAAAAUGGCUUGUAAUCAACUACAGCCUAUAUAACCAAUUAAAUUUUAUUUACAUAAAAAGAUAUAAAUAUACAUCAUAUUUUUACAAGUAUUAUUUUGAAAAAUGCUUGCGCUUAUUAUAAAAAUCAAAGAUAUAUAUUUCAAGUAAUUUUGCAUGUAAUUUUACACGUGCAAUUGUUCUUGUAAGGGUUGAUCUUAUCUACCAUGAUUUUUAUAAUUGUUCUUAAAAGCAUUUAGAUUAAACUAAAUUAAAACAAAAUUAUGCAAUAUUUAAUAAAAUGUUUAAUAAAAAAACUCAAUUAAUUAAAAAUCAGAUACCUUACUAUUUAAUACUGCUUUUGAUGUGAAUAGCACUUUACUUCUUUAUAUUACUUCUUUCCAUUUAAUACAGAUAAAAAUGUAACAUAUAUUAUGGAUAUUAUGUAGAAGACAAUUAAGGCAGCAGAUUUUGUAGAUCGGUUCCUAUAAUGGUCUUUUACUCUGAUUUGACAACUAUAAUUUUCGCAAGUAUGUUUGGUCAUUUUAUAUACUUUAUUUUUCGUAUAUCAUAUACUCUAUUAUUAUUACUUUUUCCAGCUUUUAAAAUUUGACACAUUUCCAUUGACUACACUAAUAUUUAAUACCAUUGACCAGAAUUACUAUUUUAUUUUUUUAGACUUUACGACUGGUUUUUCCGAAGAUAUUGUAAUGCUUCAUAUCUAUUGUUUUAUUCAUCGUUAACGUUAGGACAGUACUUAAUUUAAUAUUAUAUAAUUUAUAAUACAAACUGAUGGGAACUCCGUAGAGUCGAAACGUUUCUUUAAUUUAUAAUGCAUAUUAGAUUUCUUUUAUUCAUGAUUUUUUUACUCAUAUCAGUUAAUAAAUCAUACUUUUACUAAAAAUAUUGUAUUACCUCGAUGUAUUGACCUGAUUCUUCAUAUAUUUUGUUGCUUUGCAUUACCGAGCUCAUUAUAUUGUUUUUAUUAUGUAGAAGAGUUUAAGUCCGAAUUAUCGAUAAUACAGUUAUCCACCAAAAAAAAGUUACUUGUUCACUAAACUAUACCACCAUAUCUAUGUUUUGGGGAUCGCUGAAUCCGAAUCCAUUGUCCGUUUUACCUAAAGAGCCUACAAUCAAAGAGCCGCAAACUGGUUCCGCGCUUCUGAUUGACUAUAUGGCGUGACGUCAUGAUUUGCGAUUAAAAAUCUGUUUACUAACUUAUCUAGUAAGAAGGUUAUAAACUGGAAUACGUGUUAAUUAAAAAAAAUCAACUGGUUUAAAAACGCAUAAUUCUGCAAUAAUAAAAGUUUAGACCAAAAAGGUUUAACCAAUACACAAGUAUAAAAAGUCUAAACGGAAGAUAAUGAGUUUGGAUCAAUAAAAAGAGUGGCAUCCGUUUGCCCAUCAAUAUUGGCCACGGUCCCGAUUGAUCACGGGACGGAUUGGCCACGUUAAUAUUGCCCAUGCGUCAAUAUUGGCCACGUCAAUAAUGGCCACGCGUAAUACUGCCUACGUCAAUAUUGGCCACGCGUCAAUAUUAGCUACAUUUAUAUAAAAAUUCUAAUAUUCGUAUAGGUAUCUUACAGAUCAUCUAUGCUAUAUACGCACCUAGUAAAAUAUCUGAUUUUCAAUCAAAGUUCUUGUAUAUAGCCCGUUCUGACUCACAAAAAGGGUUUUAAAUAGAAUUAGUCAGCUAACCGCCCUAACGUACUAUGAUCGUUCAAAAUUUACAAUGAGGCAAAAGGGGGAAGUUUGCAUACGUACACUGUAGAUGCGAAUGAACGUGACAAGCAAUAUUAGUUCAGUAUGUCGGCCUUUGCACGUUCGUUUAGAGCGACUUGAGACUUCUCGCAACUAGUGACUUAUGCGCAUUGACGUACGAGGUGUAUUAUAUUUUUGAGUACGUUUUCGUAAACUGAGUAACAUACUGUUCUAUUCGUUGUGAAACUAACCAAAGAAGAAAUGAAGAAUUAUCGAGAGCUGAGUUUGCUAGAUUGAGUACUAAAGAACAAGAUCUGUAUUUAAAACAAGUAUUAGACGAUUCAAAUGCAGAAAAUUACAUGGAGUUGGAUAGUGAUGACAAAGACUAGUUGCUUCAGCAAGAGCGCGCCUCAAAACAAGUAGCUACUAAUAUAGUAGUGCUAGAUGACGCCAAAAAGAAAUCAGAAAUUGAUCUUUACUAUAGUAAAUACAAAAGUGGAGUGGACGCAAUGGAUCAAAUACUGGAAGAUACACAAGCCAGUGGCGUACUCUGAGAUGGCCGCUCAGUCUUUUCUAUAACAUCACAGACAUUGCAACUCUUGUACUUUACAUUAUUUAUUAUAAAAAUAAUAAAAUGUUAAAGAAAAAACAAAUAAAAGAAUAUUCAUGAGACAAUUAAGUUACGAGCUUGCUGUUCCAAUAAUUGAGGAUUAAUCGCAAAAUUUACAAAUGAGACAUUAUAAUGUAAAACUGACAAUGAAGACUAUUCUCGGUAGGCUAAUAAAUCUCAUUAAACUUUCUUCUAGAUCUGGACAAAGAAGGGAUAAUAAAAACAGAAAAAUAUUUACUGAGUCAUUUAUGUUACAGACAAAUUAUAAAAACACGAAAAUCUUGUUCAGAAUGUCAAAAAUCAGUGCGUGAUGAGCACACUAUAAUCAUGACAAAGUGUAUAGAAUGUAAUGAAUAUAUAAUUGUUACUAUGGUUAUUUAUAAAAA